CUGAGCCCUUCCUAUUUAUGACACCACCACCACCACAAUCCCUGGAAGGGCUUUUUCAACACAGCCAGACCCAGCGCUGGGCUGGAAGCCUCCAAAGGAACUCACAAGGAGUCCAAGCAGCACAGGAAGCAGUUUUGCUGAUCUAAGUCACAUUACUCAGAUGGUUUUGGAUGGGCUAAGCCUGUGCCAGCUGCGGAUGCAGGGCAAAAAUAACAGGAAUCAGCAGCUACCCAAAGAAGAAAUAAAGCAGCAGAAGCCUGGGGAAGGCAGACUUGAUCACCAUCAGGAUCUACACAAAGCAGUCACUUGGACUUUCAUACCCAAAAGCCAACAACCUCCUCCCAGUCAUUCCCAAAAACAUUUUACGGAAGUUCAUUAGAUGUUUCAAACAAAUUACUAGAGGGAAAAGCCCAGCCAUCUUCAGCUCCUCUAGAUACCCUCUUGGUUCAGAAAGCAAAAUUUGUAUCUCCCAUCUCCCCAAGGUAAAUGAGGCAAAUCUAGGAAAAGUCAUGAAUGAGCAAGUGAGCAGAAGCUGUGGGCACCUGUGAAUAUGUGCUCCUGCUCUCCCCUACAUCUUCCCCUCUGGCAUGAAAACGUCACAAAGCUGUAUCUGCCCCUACAGAUAUAUAUUAAAAGUAUGUGCAUGUGUACAUAGAUAUAUAUAUGUGUGUGUGUGUGUGUAUGUAUGUAUAUCCUAUAAAGCCAAACAAAUCAUCUAGAAGGCACCAAUACACACAUCUUUGCAGGAUUCCUAAAAAUGCCAGUCCUUACCUCCUCCUCUGAUGGUGCCAGGCUCUCUCAGCUCAAACAGAUUUAAGAGCACUUUGUGCUAGAGCUUCUGCCAACUGGUUUCCAGGACAGAAAAAUCUCUCAUCCUCUUAAACACCAAAUUUGCUUUCCAGAGAGGCUUCAAGGCAAGCUUUAAA
rnacentral:lncRNA from 12 species